UGCAGGAUUUGAGUGUAGGAAGC
rnacentral:piRNA from 1 species